GUCUUUUUGAAUUUAAUUUAAAGUCUAAUCUGCCCACUGAUUUAAAAUUAAAGGGCUGCAGUAAUUUGACUGUACAAAGGUAGCAUAAUCAUUAGUCUUUUAAUUGAAGACUUGUAUGAAAGAUUUGAUGAGAUAUAAACUGUCUCUUAUUUAUAAUUAAAAUUUAAUUUUUUAGUUAAAAAGCUAAAAUAAAUUUAAAAGACGAGAAGACCCUAUAGAGUUUUAUAAUUUAUAAAUUAAAAUAUUUAUAUAAAAUUUUAAUAUUAAAUUUUGUUAAUUAUUUUAUUGGGGUGAUAAAAAAAUUUAAAAAACUUUUUUUUAAAAAUUUUCAUAAAUAAAUGAAUAAAUGAUCUUGAAUAAUGAUUAAAAGAAAAAAUUACCUUAGGGAUAACAGCGUAAUAUUUUUUUUUAGUACAAAUAAAAAAAAAAGUUUGCGACCUCGAUGUUGGAUUAAGAUAAAAUUUAAAUGCAAAAGUUUAAAAUUUUGAUCUGUUCGAUCAUUAAAAUCUUACAUGAUCUGAGCUCAAACCGGA
rnacentral:rRNA from 1 species